GUGCAAAUUUGGAGACGCACCCCAAAAGGUGCCGGGGCUUCUCCCGUUUUAAGAGAGACGGGAGAAGG
rnacentral:tRNA from 1 species